rnacentral:lncRNA from 1 species
UAUAUAUAUAUAUAUAUAUAGUUGAGCUAGAAUACUAUCGGUAGCAAAUGAGCUCCGUUGCCAUCCAUUUGUUUUCGAUGAUGGAACUUCCAAAUCGAUGAUCGGCACCAUUGAAUAUGAUCUAUACCACUUGAAGUAUCUAGAAAUCAAAUUUCAUAUUUUCCCGAUAUUAUUCUCUUGUCCAUCAAGUGGGCGUAAAAAUAAACGGAUGAAAAUGAAUAUUCUCUAAAAAAUAAUGAUAGAAAAUUUGUAAUCAAGAUCGAGAGUAUAGAUUUUAUUCUAAAUAGUUUAAAGAAUUUUCUAACCGAAAUUCAUUUGAUUUGGAUAGCUUUACACCGUUAAACGAGAAAACAUUUUAUAUCUACCAUUAAAAUUAAAAAUUUUGAAACCCUGUGAUCGUUAGGUCAAUAAUGUCGAAAUGAUUUGAAAUUUGUUUCCUACAUACUUCAAGUGAUAUAGAUUAUGUUCAACUGUACCGAUCGUCAAUUUAAAGACUCCAUCAUCGAAAACAAAUGGGUGGCAACGGAGUCGGUUUGCUACCGAUAGCAUUCCAGCUCAACUAUAUAUAUAUAUAUAUAUAUAUAUAUAGAGAGAGAGAGAGAGAGAGAGAGAGAGAGAGAGAGAGAGAGAGUUGAGCUAAAAUACUAUCGAUAGUAAACGGGCUCCGUUGCCACCCAUUUAUUUUCGAUGUGGAGCCUCCAAAUCGACGGUCGGCAGCGUUGAACAUGAUCUAUACUACUUGAAGUGUUUAGAAAUCAAAUUUCAUAUAUUUUCAAUAUUGUUCGAUUAUCUAUCAAAUGGACACAAAAAUGAAAGGCUGAAAAUGAAUAUUCUUUAAAAAAUGAUGAUAGGAGUCUUGUAAUCAAGAUCAAGAUUGUAGAUUUUGUUUUGAAUAGUUUAAAGAAUUUUCUAACAAAAAUUCAAUUGAUUUGGAUAUUUUUACGCCGUUAAACGAGAAAACGCCUCAUAUCGACCAUUAAAAUUACAAAUUUUGAAACAGUUUAAUCAUUAGGCAAAUGAUGUCGAAAAAAUUUAAAAUUUGAUUUCUAAACACUUCAGGUGGUAUAGAUCAUGUUCAAUGGUGCCGAUCUUCGAUUUGAAGGCUCUAUCAUCGAAAACAAAUGGGUGGCAACGGAGCUCGUUUGCUAUCGAUAGUAUUCUAGCUCAACUAUAUAUAUAUAUAUAUAUAUAACGAACUAGGCUGGAAUACUAUUAUAUAAUAGGGUUGCUAUAUUUUUAUGAGUAUAGACCUAUUUGUACUCAUAAGUUAUUUUGUAUGAUGAAGCUUUCGAAUCGAUGAUUCAUACCAUUAAAUAUGAUUUAGAGCAUUUGAAAUUUUUAAAAAAUAAAUUUUAUAAUUUUUUAAAAUUAUAUUAAAUUCAUCAAGCGGGCAUAAAAUAAAGGCCAAAAUUGAACAACCUUCUAAAAAUAGAUGAUUAGAUUCUUCAAUUCAAAAAUCCAACUAAUUUCGAUUUUUUUUACACAGUUAAAUUAGUAAGUAUUUCAUACCGGCUGUUAAAAAUUAUUAAUUUGAAAAUCUUUUGAUCGUAAGGUAAAAGACACCGAAAAAUUAUGAAAUUUAAUUUUUAGAAAUUUUAAAUACUCUAAAUCAUGUUUAACAAGAUGAAUCAUGGACUCAUAAAUUUUAUCAUCGAAAAUAAUUUAUAAGUACGACUUAUAAAUAAGAAGAGGGUGUGUGUGUGUUGCUCUAAAUCAAUUUAAUGAUAUAAAUUAUUGACUCGAAAAUUUUACCAUAAAAAAUGAUUUAUUUAUACGACUUAAAAAUACGGUGGAAAAAAAAGAGAAGAGAUAAAACUGUAUUUUAGCCUUUAAAAAAAAAAAAGAGAAAAAAAAAAAAGAAAGGAGAAAAAGAAAAAUCUAUAAUAAAGUUUGCAUAGGAGAUGGAAAAGACAAGUUAGAAUGGGUUGGGCACCACCACAUCCAUGAUCCACCACACCCCCGAAUCCUCCGGAAUUAAUGCAUGGUGUGCAUGAGAGAAAGCGCGUGCAUGAAAGAGACCUUCAUUAAUUUGUUUCCUCUGUGUCGGUGCUGCAUCACAAUCUCUCCCUCUCACUUAAUCUCUCUCUCUCUCUCUCUCUCUCUCUCUCUCUCUCUCUCUCACUGUAAUUUUUUUCUCUUUUCUCUCUCUCUCUCUCUCUCUCUCUCUCUACGUAUACAAAUAGAUACUUCAAUUUGGACUUUCUUUGAGUCAAUGGAGUUGGACCAAAGCACUGCUGCUACGUCGUGUACUAUAUAUAUAUAUAUAUAAUAUAUAUAUAUGCGCGCGUUGAAAAAGUGUGUUAAGUAAGGUUGGUUUUUACCGUACAAUUCAUUUAUGCAUGCAUGUUGGUAAAUUACGCCAAAGGACACUCUCAUAGCUUUAUGUGUCGGGGCAAUCACAUUCCAACUUUAUUUAUGUUUUACCUACUGUACCCAGCGCCUAAGUCACAAUUUUGAUAAUUGGUAUUCGAAAUUUUAAAUUUAAAUUCUAAUUGAUUUAUAUUUUUUAAUUAAAUUUAUUUUUAAAUAAAAUAAAUGAAAUGGAUAAUAUAUUACCUAUCUCUUAAAAAAAAAAUUUAUGUGUUUUAAUUAAGAUUUAAAUAAAUUUAUUUAUUAGUUAAUAUUUUUUUUGCACAAAAGAUUUGAUCUUUAACCAUAGAAAACAGUCCAUCAUUCUAUGAAACUAAUGGAAUGAUGGGAGCUCAUGAGUAUUAACUCUAAUACCACGUUACUUAAAAGGAGCAAUGGUAUCUCAACAGCCUUCACCAUUCAAAGGUCAUAAAUAGGAUAAAUUAUACAUUUGAUUCUCAAACUACGCGACAAGUAAUGCUUUAGCUCUUAAAUUUUAAUUCGUUAUAAUUUCUGACUCGAUUUUUUUGAUUAAUGCAGUCAAUUUUUGUAAUCAAAUUUAAUUGACUAAAUAUUGAUAUAUCGCUAAUGUAGAAAUGAUAUAGUACUGGUGUUGUGAUUAAUAAUGCGUUAAUAAUUAAAUUGUUAUAUUUUUUUUACAUUACUAGUAUGUCAACAUUUAGUUAAUUAAAUUAAAUUAUGAAAUUUGAUUGCAAUAAUUUUAAAAAUCUAAGCUAAAAAUUAUAAUAAAUUAAAAUUUAAGAACCAGGCAUGCAAUUUACUUUUGUAAAUAUCAUAAAGUCUUAUUGUUUUUUCUUUUCUUUUCUUUUCUGGUACUAACUCCAAAAGAGAUUUAGAGGAAUUGUUUUUUUUUUUUUUUUUUUUGACAGAGAGAUGGGUAGCACGCUACCCGCUUCGUCUAUUUCAUUUAGAAAUAAAUUUCGCUAGAAAAUGUGAAUCAACUAGGAUUCGAACUUGGGACCUCGGAUACCAACCACUAAGUUCUUUGCCACUUGCUCUAGGGACGGUCGGUGAUUUAGAGGAAUUGUUAUUACACCGGAUGGAGGGUUUGUAUGUACAUUAAUUACAAUCCACAAGGGUUGCAAAUUUGGUAUUUCUCUAUUUAGAAUUAAAAUGGAUCUUUUUUUUUAAAAAAAACGAGUUAAAAAAUAUAUUGAACAAUAUCAAAAUCAGCUUAGAUAAUAUUAGUGUGAGAAGAAGAAAUAGCCAAUGCUACAAAUGUAACAAAUUGUGUGCUUUCGAUGUACGAUUUUUCUUUUACNAAAUUUUAUCAAAUUUGGAUUGUUUUACACUGUUAAAUUCACAAACGCAUCAAAUCUACUAUUAAAAUUGUCAAUUUUGAGACCUUUUGAUCACUAGCCAAAUGAUAUCGAAAAAUUAUGAAAUUUAGUUUUCAAAUACUUUCAAUAGUGUAGAUCAAGUCUAACGGAGCCGAUUGUCGAUUUAGAAGCCGCAUCAUCGAAAACAACUUGGUAGCACGGAGGCCUCCGUGCUACCGAUAGUAUAUCAGCCUAGCUCUAUAUAUAUAUAGAGUUGAGCUAAAAUACUCUCGAUAGCAAACGGGCUCCGUUGCCACCCAUUUAUUUUCGAUGAUGGAGCCUACAAAUCAACGAUCAGCACCGUUGAACAUGAUCUAUACCACUUGAAGUGUUUAGAAAUCAAAUUUCAUACAUUUUCAAUAUUGUUCAAUUAUCCAUCGAAUGGACAUAAAAAUGAACAGUUGAAAAUGAAUAUUUUCUUUAAAAAAUGAUGAUAGGAGUCUUGUAAUCAAGAUCGAGAUUGUAGAUCUUGUUUUAAAUAGUUUAAAGAAUUUUCUAACAAAAAUUCAAUUGAUUUGAAUAUUUUUAUGCUGUUAAACAAGAAAACGCCUCAUAUCGACCAUUAAAAUUACAAAUUUUGAAACAGUUUAAUCAUUAGGCAAAUGAUGUCGAAAAAAUUUAAAAUUUGAUUUCUAAACACUUCAGGUGGUAUAGAUCAUGUUCAACGGUGCCGAUCUUCGAUUUGGAAGCUCUAUCAUCGAAAACAAAUGGGUGGCAACAGAGCUCGUUUGCUAUCGAUAGUAUUCUAGCUCAACUAUAUAUAUAUAGAACGAACUAGGCUGGAAUACUAUUAUAUAAUAGGAUUGCUAUAUCUUUAUGAGUAUAGACCUGUUUGUACUCAUAAGUUAUUUUGUAUGAUGAAGCUUCCGAAUCGAUGAUUCAUACUAUUAAAUAUGAUUUAGAGCAUUUAAAACUUUUAAAAAAUAAAUUUUGUAAUUUUUUAAAAUUAUAUUAAAUUCAUCAAUCGGGCAUAAAAUAAACGCCAAAAUUGAACAACCUUCUAAAAAUAGAUGAUUAGAUUCUUCAAUUCAAAAAUCCAACUAAUUUCGAUUUUUUUUACAUAGUUAAAUUAGUAAGUAUUUCAUACCGACCAUUAAAAAUUAUUAAUUUUAAAAUCUUUUGAUCGUAAGGUAAAAGAUACCGAAAAAUUAUGAAAUUUAAUUUUUAGAAAAUUUAAAUACUCUAAAUCAUGUUUAACAAUAUGAAUCAUGGACUUAUAAAUUUUAUCAUCGAAAAUAAUUUAUAAGUAUGACUUAUAAAUACGAAGAGGGUGAAGAGGGUGUGUGUGUGUGUUG